GGCUGGUCCAAUGGUAGUGGGUGAUGAGAACUUAUUAACAUUAGUGUCAGUAAAGUUGGUAUUCAACCCCCCACCCAGCCACUGCUGCAUUUCACUGGGAAA
ensembl:misc_RNA Y_RNA Y RNA